CCUACGGGUGGCAGCAGUGGGGGAUAUUGCACAAUGGGGGAAACCCUGAUGCAGCGACGCCGCGUGGGGGAAGAAGGUCCUCUGGAUUGUAAACCACUGUCGCCAGGGACGAAGAUGACGGUACCGGGGGAGGAAGCUCCGGCUAACUACGUGCCAGCAGCCGCGGUAAUAAGCAGGGAGCGAGCGUUGUCCGGAAUGACUGGGUGAAAGGGGUGCGUAGGCGGGGAUGCAAGUUGGGUGUAAAAACUACCGGCUCAACUGGUAGUCGCACUCGAAACUGCAGCUCUUGAGUGCAGUAGAGGCAGGCGGAAUGCCUAGUGUAGCGGUGAAAUGCGUAGAUAUUAGGAGGAACACCAGUGGCGAAGGCGGCCUGCUGGGCUUUUACUGACGCUGAGGCUCGAAAGUGUGGGGAGCAAACAGGAUUAGAUACCCCUGUAGUC
rnacentral:rRNA from 1 species